rnacentral:rRNA from 1 species
UACAGAGGUCUCAAGCGUUGUUCGGAUUCAUUGGGCGUAAAGGGUGCGUAGGCGGCGCGGUAAGUCGGGUGUGAAAUCUCGGAGCUUAACUCCGAAACUGCAUUCGAUACUGCCGUGCUUGAGGACUGGAGAGGAGACUGGAAUUUACGGUGUAGCGGUGAAAUGCGUAGAUAUCGUAAGGAAGACCAGUGGCGAAGGCGGGUCUCUGGACAGUGCCUGACGCUGAGGCACGAAGGCCAGGGGAGCAAACGGG